AGGGGAACAGUGAGAAGAAGGCUGAAGAGUUGCCAAAGGUUUCUGCCAAGGUCAUUGCUUGCUAUAGCAGGAGGGGACGCAUGCGUGGAAGGGGACUGGAAACGCUCCCCAAGAAUGUAGCUGCCGCCAAGGAGAACGGCGAGACGAAGUGUGAAGAGGAGAUGCAGAAGGCUUCUGCCAAGG